rnacentral:rRNA from 1 species
GACGGUGAGAGGCGAAAGCGUGGGGAGCGAAACGGAUUAGAUACCCGUGUAGUCCACGCUGUAAACAAUGCCUGCCAGAUGCUCCGCUUUUGUGGGGUGUCGAAGCUAACGCGUUAAGCAUGCCGCCUGGGAAGUACGAUCGCAAGAUUAAAACUCAAAGGAAUUGGCGGGGACCCGCACAAGCGGUGGAGCAUGCUCUUUAAUUGGCUGACAACCCAAGAACCUUACCAGGGCUUGACAUGCAUUUAGUAGUGAACCGAAAGGGGAACGACCGGUAUCCAGUCCGGAGUUUGCACAGGUGUUGCAUGGCUGUCGUCAGUUCGUACCGUGAGGCGUACCCUUAAGUGGGUUAACGAACGCAACCCCUACUGUUAGUUGUAUCACUCUAACGGAACUGCCUCGGCAACGAGGAGGAAGGUGGGGAUGACGUCAAGUCAGUAUUGCUCUUACGCUCUGGGCUAGAAGCAUGCUACA